rnacentral:rRNA from 1 species
CCUACGGGGGGCAGCAGUGGGGAAUAUUGCGCAAUGGGCGAAAGCCUGACGCAGCGACGCCGCGUGAGGGAUGAAGGUCUUCGGAUCGUAAACCUCUGUCAGCAGGGAAGAACGGUCACUGUGCUAAUCAGCAGUGAAUUGACGGUACCUGCAAAGGAAGCACCGGCUAACUACGUGCCAGCAGCCGCGGUAAUACGGAGGGUGCGAGCGUUAAUCGGAAUUACUGGGCGUAAAGCGCUCGUAGGCGGUAUGUCAAGUCAAGGGUGAAAUCCCCGCGCUCAACGUGGGAACUGCCUUUGAAACUGGCAAACUGGAGUGUGUGAGAGGAUAGUGGAAUUCCAGGUGUAGGAGUGAAAGCCGUAGAUAUCUGGAGGAACAUCAGUGGCGAAGGCGACUAUCUGGCACAUAACUGACGCUGAGGAGCGAAAGCGUGGGUAGCAAACAGGAUUAGAUACCCCGGUAGUC